UUGAGUACAAUCGAGGUAAGGGCUGCCUAACACCUUCCCCUUACUUAACGAACUCCCGAAACUUAGACUCUUUCCUUAACUGUAGGUUUUAUCAUUAUUUCCCUGUUCCUUAGGAACGAAUAAAUGAUGAUGGCGACUUUGUUAUUUUUCCAGCCGCGACAGUUGGCGACUCUGCUGGGGAAUCCUACUUCCCUAAAGAGAGUUCAUCCUAACCUCUAGUUUAAGGGUUUUGUGUGUUUUCUUUCUCUAUUUUCUUAAUUUAUUUCCUUCUUUAUUAUUUAUUUUAUUUUUAUUUCCAUAUUUUAUGCCUUUAUUAUUAUAUUAUUUCAUUAUUCAUAAUUUCAUGUCAUGGGAUGCGACUGUUACUAUGUGAGAAGCUAAAACUCAAGCUUAGGGAAAAAACCUAAGUUAAUAAGUAGAACUGAAAUGUUU
rnacentral:lncRNA from 1 species